CGAAACUAUAAGAACUAUACUGUUAAAACUUGGUAAGUAGAUGUAUUCUGUGAACCGCAUUAAGAUUUUCACACAAAAAUAGAAAAAAAACAAUACAUUUUGGGGGGUCCCCAUACUUAGAACUGAAACUCAAAAUUAUUAUUUUUUUCAUCAAACCCAUACGUGUGGGGUAUCCAUGGAUAAGUCUUCAAAAAUGAUAUUGAGGUUUCUAAAUAAUAUCAUUUUUUUCUAAACUGAAUAGUUUGUGCGAGAGACACUUCCAAAGUGAGAAUGAUAAAACUAAAAAAAAAUAUAUGAUGUACAUUGCUAUGCAAACUUCCACCGAAAAUUGGUUUGAACGAGAUCUAGUAAGUAGUUUUUUUAAUACGUCAUAAA